rfam:Salmo salar isolate Sally breed double haploid chromosome ssa13, whole genome shotgun sequence.
AAAACAAAGUACUGUAAGUCGCUCUGGGUAAGAGCAUCUGCUAAAUGACUAAAA